rnacentral:rRNA from 1 species
CUACGGGCGGCAGCAGUGGGGAAUAUUGCACAAUGGGCGCAAGCCUGAUGCAGCGACGCCGCGUGAGCGAUGAAGGUUUUCGAAUCGUAAAGCUCUGUCCUCGGGGAAGAUAAUGACGGUACCCGAGAAGAAAGCACCGGCUAAAUACGUGCCAGCAGCCGCGGUAAUACGUAUGGUGCAAGCGUUGUCCGGAAUUACUGGGCGUAAAGAGUUCGUAGGCGGGAAUGUAAGUCAGAAGUGAAAGGCAAUGGCUCAACCAUUGUAAGCUUUUGAAACUGCAUUUCUUGAGUAUCGGAGGGGAAAGUGGAAUUCCUAGUGUAGCGGUGAAAUGCGUAGAUAUUAGGAGGAACACCAGUGGCGAAGGCGACUUUCUGGACGAAAACUGACGCUGAGGAACGAAAGCGUGGGGAGCAAACAGGAUUAGAUACCCCCGUAGUC